AGCAGCCGCGGUAAUACAGAGGGGGCAAGCGUUAUUCGGAAUUAUUGGGCGUAAAGGGUGCGUAGGUGGCGCGCUAAGUCAGGUGUGAAAUUUCGGAGCUCAACUCCGAAACUGCAUUUGAUACUGGCGUGCUUGAGGACUGGAGAGGAGACUGGAAUUCACGGUGUAGCAGUGAAAUGCGUAGAUAUCGUGAGGAAGACCAGUGGCGAAGGCGGGUCUCUGGACAGUUCCUGACACUGAGGCACGAAGGCCAGGGGAGCAAACGGG
rnacentral:rRNA from 1 species